AAAGUCACAAGACUGGCACAAGGUUUAUCUGUAGGCGGCGAUUUAGAAUAUGCUGAUGAAGUGACUUUAUCUAAAGCAAUUGCAGGUAGAACGGAAAUGUAAUAAUAUCUACUACUUUAAAGUCUGGGAUAUAAGUCUAUAUUCUAGACUUUAUUUACAUUUAAAUAGAAGAAGAUUGAAGAUGCUUAUAUAUGAAUCUCCCCAACAUAGAGAAUUUCACAGAGAAAUUCAACAGACAAAGCAAGUUGGGGUUCGGGGCCCCAACAUAGAGAAUUUCAUUGGGAAAUUCAACAGACAAAGCAAGUUGGGGUUCGGUAAUGGAUUGAAACAAAGAAGAAUAUGAUAAGAUUUCUGUUUCGCUUUUUAGAAUUCAGACUUAAUGAGUUCACGGAGAGGCUUUUAUAAUUACAUUUAUUAUUAAUGAGGAUAAGAAUCAAUCCUUCUUUACCCAAGGAUGAUGUAAAGUACUUGGAAUAAAAAACAAGGAUUAUAGUAAAAUAGUAAAAAUGUUUUAAAAUGAACAACAAAAAUAAAGUUUGUGAAUAGGGUUUGUAUAGGCGUUGAAGUUUUAUUUUAGCAACCAUUUUUCUGUAUAACACGUUUAUAAUUGAAUUCCAUACGAAAAAAGUUCGGUUUUUCCUUCUGAGUAAUUUGAAUUGUUUUUUUGAUAGUGUAAUUUUUACUGUUGUUAAAACGAGAAUAAGUCUGUAUAGUAUUUAUUUGUUGAGCGAAACAACUUAACGAAUCAUUAAACAAACGACUAAAAUUAAUUUCAAAAAGUUGUUGACUUAAACAACUAUGAAGAGUAUAAUUAAUUCUUGUCGGUAAGAAAGUGAACAUUGAAAACUGAAUGACAAUAUGUCAACGUUAAUUCCAAUAAACAGUAACGAAACGUUACAAAUUAUUUAGUAUUUAUGAGCUAAUCAAACAUCAUAAUUUUUUAUGGAGAGUUUGAUCCUGGCUCAGGAUGAACGCUGGCGGCGUGCCUAAUACAUGCAAGUCGAGCGAACAGA
rnacentral:rRNA from 1 species